rnacentral:misc_RNA from 1 species
ACAAAUCCGAUAAUUUGCGUGGGGGGUGACCCUUUUUGCAAAAUAUUAAAUCGCCGGCUUAACAGCUGGUGGUGAGGUUAUAAUAAUAUAAAUGCGUGUUAUGUUGACAGUGUGAGUGAGAUUUAAAUUUAUUGA